rnacentral:rRNA from 1 species
UGGGUGAUCUGCCCUGCACUUCGGGAUAAGCCUGGGAAACUGGGUCUAAUACCGGAUAUGACUGCGAAUCGCAUGGUUUGUGGUGGAAAGCUUUUGCGGUGUGGGAUGGGCCCGCGGCCUAUCAGCUUGUUGGUGGGGUUAAGGCCUACCAAGGCGACGACGGGUAGCCGGCCUGAGAGGGUGACCGGCCACACUGGGACUGAGACACGGCCCAGACUCCUACGGGAGGCA